rnacentral:rRNA from 1 species
CUGAACUGGGUGACUCGAGUGUGUCAGAGGGAGGUAGAAUUCCACGUGUAGCAGUGAAAUGCGUAGAGAUGUGGAGGAAUACCGAUGGCGAAGGCAGCCUCCUGGGACAACACUGACGUUCAUGCCCGAAAGCGUGGGUAGCAAACAGGAUUAGAUACCCUGGUAGUCCACGCCCUAAACGAUGUCAAUUAGCUGUUGGGCAACCUGAUUGCUUGGUAGCGUAGCUAACGCGUGAAAUUGACCGCCUGGGGAGUACGGUCGCAAGAUUAAAACUCAAAGGAAUUGACGGGGACCCGCACAAGCGGUGGAUGAUGUGGAUUAAUUCGAUGCAACGCGAAGAACCUUACCUGGUCUUGACAUGUACGGAAUCCUCUGGAGACGGAGGAGUGCCUUCGGGAGCCGUAACACAGGUGCUGCAUGGCUGUCGUCAGCUCGUGUCGUGAGAUGUUGGGUUAAGUCCCGCAACGAGCGCAACCCUUGUCAUUAGUUGCCAUCAUUCAGUUGGGCACUCUAAUGAGACUGCCGGUGACAAGCCGGAGGAAGGUGGGGAUGACGUCAAGUCCUCAUGGCCCUUAUGACCAGGGCUUCACACGUCAUACAAUGGUCGGUACAGAGGGUAGCCAAGCCGCGAGGCGGAGCCAAUCUCACAAAACCGAUCGUAGUCCGGAUUGCACUCUGCAACUCGAGUGCAUGAAGUCGGAAUCGCUAGUAAUCGCAGGUCAGCAUACUGCGGUGAAUACGUUCCCGGGUCUUGUACACACCGCCCGUCACACCAUGGGAGUGGGGGAUACCAGAAGUAGGUAGGAUAACCGCAAGGAGUCCGCUUACCACGGUAUGCUUCAUGACUGGGGUGAAGUCGUAACAAGGUAGCCGUAGGGGAACCUGCGGCUG